UACGAAGGGGGCUAGCGUGGCUCGGAAUCACUGGGCGUAAAGCGCACGUAGGCGGAUUGUUAAGUCAGGGGUGAAAUCCUGGAGCUCAACUCCAGAACUGCCUUUGAUACUGGCGAUCUCGAGUCCGGGAGAGGUGAGUGGAACUGCGAGUGUAGAGGUGAAAUUCGUAGAUAUUCGCAAGAACACCAGUGGCGAAGGCGGCUCACUGGCCCGGUACUGACGCUGAGGUGCGAAAGCGUGGGGAGCAAACAGG
rnacentral:rRNA from 1 species